rnacentral:rRNA from 1 species
CGGCGGACGGGUGAGUAACACGUGGGUAAUCUGCCUUAUACAGGGGGAUAACAGUUAGAAAUGACUGCUAAUACCGCAUAAGCGCACGGAAACGCAUGUUUCAGUGUGAAAAACUCCGGCAGUAUAAGAUGAGCCCGCGUCUGAUUAGCUUGUUGGUGGGGUAACGGCCUACCAAGGCGACGAUCAGUAGCCGGCCUGAGAGGGUGAACGGCCACAUUGGGACUGAGACACGGCCCAAACUCCUACGGAAGGCAGCAG